CAUUUCUGUCGUUUCCGAAACUACCCUCCCACUCCCUCUCUCGCUCAGCUCAGCCACUCGCUCGCUGGCUCCCGAACCCCUAGCUCACCGCAGCCGGCGCCUCUCCGUCGCACGCGUCGCCGGCGCCUCUACCCCGCACGCAGCGCCUCCGCCUCUCCCUCUCGCGUCGUCGCCGCCUUUCCAUGUUGCCACACGUCGUCGCCUCUCCCUUUUCAAGAUUUAAUUUUUACUCCGGCGGCUGGAUCUGAAGCGCGGCUGCUCCACCUUCCUCAGGGUGGCGGGGAUCUCCGGCUCGCUGCGGAGGGGGGAGGGAACGACCGCCGGCGGCCGCUGCGGGCAGAAGGGGAACUGCGUAGGCGACAUCGUCGGCGUCGGCGUCCCAGGGACAGGGCACGGCGGCACGCACUGCGGGCCCAUGCACAGGCACACCGUGCCUUUGCCGCCGUCCGCCAGCACGCCACUGGCCGACAGGAGCAGCCACAGCCACGCGGCCACGGCGAGCUGGACCGCCGGCGACGGGUUCGUGCAGUCCCGCGAGGACCGCGCCAUGUGGGAUGCCGAGACGACGUUGCCGAAGAAGGAGUCUCCGACUACCUCACGCCCGCCGCUGGCCUGCACAUCAGGUCGCCGAGCCCGUACGCCGGUGUGAGCAGCCUGGGCUGCCGGGUGCUCGCCGUCCGGCAGCACACCACGGCGCGACACGGGGUCGUGGAGGCCGAGCUCACCCAGGUCGAGACCAUACGGUGGCAGUAGGAGGAGACUGAACACCAUGGUGGUGUGGGCGCCGAUUGAAAAUCACCAGUGAGUCCUACUUCAACUGCGAUGCAAUAUAAUUUGAUCGAAAAGGGACGGCAUGCUGAGGUGUACAAAGGACAGCUUGCUGAUGGACAGUUUGUGGCAAUUCAAGCUUACUGUAUCCUGAAAUUCAAGCUUAUUGUAUCCUGAUUUAACUGGAGUACAAUGUUGUAGCUUCACUUGUCUUCCAGUCAAAUACUCAUGUACUCCAACUUUAACUGGAGUAUACCCCAACUUAAUCAUAAUCAGUUGUUGCCUGUGGUGCUAUAUUAGUUAUACCAAGUUGAUGGUUUCGUUAAGUUGCAUGUACCCUGAAUUCAAGUAAAUUAAGUUGCCUGUACCAAGUUGAGUAUUUAACUUUUUUUUGAAUAGGAGGAUAACCCCUGGCCUCUGCAUCAGAAUGUUGCGCGGGAGGCCGAUGCGGGCAGGCGCCGCUGGUGGCUCUGCUGGGGCCGCCUUGGCGACGCCUACGGCAAGACAUUCUACCUCGUGUGAAAGAAAGAGAACUCGAGCCAAGGUGAUGGUGAUGGAAAUGAAAGAAAGAAAGAGAAGCUGGUAAGGAGUGCCUACCACAAAGAUGAGCAGAAGCAGGGGAGUUCGCUGGGAUGGAGGCGCUGGUGGCCUCGCCAUGGCUGUUGAGGAGGUGGGGGUAGAGGAGUUGAGCGCUGGCCAGGGCCAGGCGGGGCAGGAGGUGAGCGCUGGUCUGGAGGAGCCCGACAGAGAAGCAGGGACGACGAGGGGCCUGGCGGAGGGCCAAAGAGGAGCGCUGGCAUGGAGGAGCCCGGCCGAGGGGCAAAGAGGGGCGCUGUCCUGGAGGAGCCCGACGGAGGGGCCUGGAGCAGCGCUGGCCUCGCGGAUGGAGGAGGAAGACGAUCUGUUUUCAAACUAGGGGUAUUUAUGUACUUUUGUACGUUUUCACCUGGUCGGAGAGAACUCCCAACGACAAUUAUUUCGGAACGGAGGGAGUAGGAAGCUUUGACCCCUCAGCAGUGUACGAGAAGGAACACCGCUGCUGGAUUGCUCGGCGCCAGUUAUAAAUCUUGCAAAGUUUGUUGCACUUUGCCAUUUCUCAUGUGUAAUCCCAAUCUACCAUUUAAUUUUUUUGCAUUUGCAAUUGGCCUCGAAAAAUACCACUCUAAUUGAUCUGGCUGCUGAAGGAAGAAGAUGGAGAUAUAUCGUUAUCCA